AUUGAACGCUGGCGGCAGGCCUAACACAUGCAAGUCGAACGAGUGGCGGACGGGUGAGUAAUGUCUGGGAAACUGCCCGCUGGAGGGGGAUAACUACUGGAAACGGUAGCUAAUACCGCAUACCAUCGGAUGUUCCCAGAUGGGAUUAGCUAGUAGGUGGGGUAACGGCUCACCUCGGCGACGAUCCCUAGCUGGUCUGAGAGGAUGACCAGCCACACGGGAACGGAGACACGGUCCAGACGCCUACGGUAGGCAGCAGUGGGGAAUAUUGCACAAUGGGCGAAAGCCUGAUGCAGCCAUGCCGCGUGUAUGAAGAAGGCCUUCGGGUUGUAAAGUACUUUCAGCGAGGAGGCGUUACUCGCAGAAGAAGCACCGGCGAACUCCGUGCCAGCAGCCGCGGUAAUAC
rnacentral:rRNA from 1 species